GCGGUUGGACAGUGUGGCGUGGUUGCGAUGGCGGAUCGGAAUCCUGGAUUUUUGGCACCGAAAAUAGUCGCGCGGGCGCGCGGUGGAGCCGCGAGAGAAGCGGCCGCGCAGUGCGUGUCGCUCCGCCGUGUGAACAGCUCGCUCGUGAGGCCAGUAACUGGCGUAUUUUUUGACCGGACCGUCGUAGACACAAAGCCGCCACCAUGGACGCGAUCAAGAAGAAGAUGCAGGCGAUGAAGCUGGAGAAGGACAAUGCCAUGGACAAGGCAGAUACCUGCGAACAACAGGCCAGGGACGCUAAUCUCCGCGCCGAAAAGGUCAACGAGGAAGUCCGUGAGCUCCAGAAGAAGCUCGCACAAGUGGAAGAGGACCUCACAGUCAACAAGAACAAGCUGGAACAGGCCAACAAAGACCUAGAGGAGAAGGAGAAGCUCCUGGCCACCACCGAGGCGGAGGUCGCCGCCCUCAACAGGAAGGUGCAGCAGAUUGAGGAGGACCUGGAGAAGUCAGAGGAGAGGUCCGGCACAGCCCAGCAGAAACUGCUCGAAGCGCAACAGUCCGCUGACGAGAACAACCGUAUGUGCAAAGUAUUAGAGAACAGAGCACAACAAGACGAGGAACGCAUGGACCAACUCACCAACCAGCUGAAGGAAGCCCGUCUACUGGCUGAGGACGCCGACGGCAAGUCUGAUGAGGUAUCACGUAAGCUGGCCUUCGUUGAAGACGAGCUGGAGGUAGCUGAGGACCGAGUCAAAUCUGGAGACGCCAAGAUCUCAGAACUUGAGGAAGAAUUAAAGGUCGUAGGUAACUCCCUAAAAUCCCUGGAGGUGUCAGAGGAGAAGGCGAACCAGCGUGUUGAGGAGUUCAAGAAGCAGCUGAAGACCCUCACCAGCAAACUGAAGGAGGCCGAAGCCCGCGCCGAGUUCGCGGAGAAGACGGUGAAGAAACUGCAGAAGGAGGUCGACAGGCUCGAAGACUGCUUGUUCAACGAGAAAGAAAAAUACAAGGCCAUAUGCGAUGACCUGGACGGCACAUUCGCUGAGUUGACGGGAUACUAACCCCCUAGCAGCACUUAUUUUAAGACAAAACCGUCCAUAAUUCAAUCCCUUAAAGUCCAUUUUUAGAUCGACAAUUAGCGGCCCCGAAAACACCCGUCCAAUUGCCGAAGAACAUUUAGCAAUGACGGAUUCGAGUUUAAAUAUCGCCUUCUUAUUAACAAACCUAAAGUUUAGGAUUGUCGCGUGUAGACGUUCUAACUUACGUAGCGUUGCGGACAAUUCUUUAAAUACUAACAGCCUUACUACAAAACAAAACCUAGAAUAAAAAUCUUCCCAAGCACAUUAUUGUCUGCCCAUGACGAAAUAGAAACCCCAGGUGUCCAACUAUAAAAUUGGCGGAUAAUAAACCAGUCUACCAGAGCUUUGGUUGUCGAAACACGUACGGACGGAGACGUCCCGGAGAGUAUCUCCGUAUUUUAGACGUGUUUCAAUAGAAUUUCGUUAGGUAUUCAAUUUUGGAUCAAAUUCAGAUUUCGUUAAUGCAAUUUUAUUGUUUUUUUUUUAAAUACAUUUCCUUCGCUCUGGUUUUUGCACUAAUGUAUAAGCAAUGUCAAAAAUUUUGAAAAGUUUUAUAUAUAAGGCUAUAUACAUUUUUACGCCCUGCUUUCUGUGUUGUCACUAACCCGUCUUACGCUUGCUGCUACCGCCGAGGACCAUGCUUGGAAGACGAGCUGGGCAUCAACAAGGAUCGGUACAAGAGCUUGGCUGACGAAAUGGACUCCACCUUCGCUGAGCUGGCCGGCUACUAAACACCGAACCAACCAAACAGACAGACAUACAUUCACACAUCCACACACAGUACAAUACGCACACCAGCGCAGCUACACUCUACAGCGACACAAAUACGUUAGUACACGUGAUGUAAUGAUAUUUAUUAAUAUUUUAUGUAAAUUUAUUUACGAUUUUCAAUAAAAUUAAUUUAUAACAUC